AUUGAACGCUGGCGGCAGGCCUAACACACGCAAGUCGAGCGGAUGAAGGGAGCUUGCUCCUGGAUUCAGCGGCGGACGGGUGAGUAAUGCCUAGGAAUCUGCCUGGUAGCGGGGGAUAACGUCCGGAAACGGGCGCUAAUACCGCAUACGUCCUGAGGGAGAAAGUGGGGGAUCUUCGGACCUCACGCUAUCAGAUGAGCCUAGGUCGGAUUAGCUAGUUGGUGGGGUAAAGGCCUACCAAGGCGACGAUCCGUAACUGGUCUGAGAGGAUGAUCAGUCACACUGGAACUGAGACACGGUCCAGACUCCUACGGGAGGCAGCAGUGGGGAAUAUUGGACAAUGGGCGAAAGCCUGAUCCAGCCAUGCCGCGUGUGUGAAGAAGGUCUUCGGAUUGUAAAGCACUUUAAGUUGGGAGGAAGGGCAGUAAGUUAAUACCUUGCUGUUUGGACGUUACCAACAGAAUAAGCACCGGCUAACUUCGU
rnacentral:rRNA from 1 species